ensembl:lncRNA
UAAAAAAAAAAUUUUUCCCGGGAAAAUCUCGGAGCGGAAUUCCGCCCCAAAUCCGCGCUCCGAGGGGGGUUUUUUUGGGAAAGGCGGGAAAAAAGGAUGGAAAAUCCAUCUGGGAAUGCUCCGGGAGAGGAAUAUCCCGGGAAAACUCAUCCCGAGGAUUCCCGGCCCAUCCCGCUUUUUUUUUUUUGUUGUUUUUUGGGAAUUCCAGCCGUGGAAUAUCCCGGGAAAAUCCAAAGGGAUCCCGGGAAAAUCCGAGCCCGGGGAUCCCCGAAGGCCGGGGGAGCCCCCGGGUUCCCAUUCCCGAAGGAUUCCCGGAAGGAAAAGCCACGGGAGGAGCCGGCCCGGGAAUUCCCAGAGCGGCUCCCAGCUGGAAUUGUCCGGAAUUCUGGAUCAAAUUGUCUGGAAUUCUCUGGAAUUCUGGCUGGAAUUGUCUGGAAUUUUCUGGAAUUCUAGCUGGAAUUCUGGCUGGAAUUGCCUGGAUUUCUCUGGAAUUCUCUGGAAUUCCGGCUGGAAUUGCCUGGAUUUCUCUGGAAUUCUCUGGAAUUCCGGCUGGAAUUGCCUGGAUUUCUCUGGAAUUCUGGCUGGAAUUGUCUGGAAUUGUAGCUGGAAUUGUGGCUGGAAUUGUGGCUGGAACUGUCUGGAAUUCCGUGUGGAAUUAUAUGGAAUUCCAGCUGAAAUUGUGUCUGCAAUUGUCUGGAAUUCCCGCUGGAAUUGCCUGGAUUUCUCUGGAAUUCUGGCUGGAAUUCCGUGUGGAAUUGUAGCUGGAAUUGUGGCUGGAAUUCCCACUGGAAUUGCCCGGAAUUCUCUGGAAUUCUGGCUCAAAUUGUCUGGAAUUCUCUGGAAUUCUGGCUGGAAUUGUCUGGAAAUGUCUGGAAUUCUGGCUGGAAUUAUUUGGAAUUCUGGCUGGAACUGUCCAGAAUUCCCGCUGAAAUUGCCUGGAAUUCUCUGGAAUUCUGGCUCAAAUUGUCCGGAAUUCUCUGGAAUUGUGGCUGGAAUUGCAUUGGGAAUUGUGGCUGAAACUGUCCGGAAUUCCGUGUGGAAUUAUUUGGAAUUCUGGCUGAAACUGUCCGGAAUUGUCUGGAAUUCCCGCUGGAAUUGCCCGGAAUUCUGGCUGGAAUUAUUUGGAAUUCCGGCUGAAAUUGCCCGGAAUUCUGGCUGGAAUUGCAUCUGGAAUUCUCUGGAAUUCUCUGGAAUUCCCUGGAAUUCCGGCUGGAAUUGUCUUGGACUGUCUGGAAUUAUCUGGAAUUGCCUGGAAUUCUCUGGAAUUCUCUGGAAUUCUGGCUGGAAUGAUCUGGAAUAGCCUGGAAUUCCAUCUGGAAUCACCUGGAAUAGUCUGGAAUUCCGGCUGGAAUUGCCUGGAAUUCUCUGGAAUUCCGGCUGGAAUUGUCUUGGGUUGUCCGGAAUUAUCGGGAAUUCGGGCUGGAAUCGUCCAGAACUCUCUGGAAUAGUCUGGAAUUCGGGCUGGAAUCGUCCAGAACUCUCUGGAAUUUUCUGGAAUUCCGUCUGGAAUCGUCCAGAACUCUCUGGAAUUUUCUGGAAUUCCGUCUGGAAUCGUCCAGAACUCUCUGGAAUUCCGCCUGGCUCCACCCCCGGGAACAUCGAUCAAAUCCCAUUUUCCCUUUUUUUCCCCCC